GGGCCUCCUGAAAUUCGGAUUCAAGAAAAACAAACAAACAAUCCGUUUAAUACGAGUUUUCACUAGUCACGAGUGAUGAUAAACCACGUCUUUCUGUAGUGGCUAAUCGUGUUGAAAUGUCAUCAGAAGAAAAAAAAACAACCGUCUGCACCAAAAACAGCAAAAACAAGAGAAGGAAAAAGAAAAGAAAAAGGGGGGAAUGAAACGAAGCGAUCCAUCUAUUGCUCGUCCCGUUUUCCCAAGUUGACAUCUUGCGCUUUCUCUCUCUCUCUCUCUCUCUGGAUGAGAUUGUGACACGAUGCCUUGGCACGGGACGGGACACGGCCGUACAUUCGCUACAAAAGCCGAUGGCAUCGUGAAGAGAAGUCACGAUAAAAAAACUGCCGUCAGACAACGACAAGACGCAUGUCGGCAACCGCAAAUGGCAGUCUCAAUAACAACAGCCAAGAAAAAAUAACGUAUCGUUUUUAGGGGUGUGUGUUUCUUCGCUAGAUGGAUGUGUGUGUUUGGAAGAAUCGCAUGUAAUCCGGGUGAGGCACCUCUGGUGGCCUCUCUGACAGAAGUCGACCUACAACACCUGUAGAACCUACGGGUAGGGCCAUUGUUUCUCGAUACACGUUUCACUUGAAAUGUUUCCAUGCAAGUGGGGAGAAGGAAAAGAAGAGAAGAAAAAAAAAAUAAAAAUAAUCCAUCAAAACAAAAGACGAACGGCGAGAUAUAUAACCACACGCUCUCUUUUUAUUUCUUUUGUUUUCUCUAGAAAAUGUGUGAAUCGGAUUCCGCUCUAACAACCAGAAUGGAAUCAAAAAAGGUUUUGACACGCAAACCACCAACCGCGCUAAAAAAAACACCAACCGGCGACGCCCAUUUUCGCAGUCAACGAAGGAGAGAAGAAAGAAAACAAAAAAAUAAAAAUAAAUAAGAAAAUAAAUAUGAUCAAACGUUCGUUCGUGAUGAUCGCGUGAACUCAACCAAAAAACAAAAGGCAGCAACAAAUCUAAACGAAUUUGAGUAGUUGUUCUGACUGUGUUGCCGGUAGACGUAAUUCUAUUGGUCCGUCCGCCAUUCAACACGCAACAGGCAACAAUCAAAGCAAAGAAAUCCAGAAAAAAAAAAAGCAAGACGAAUGAAUAGAAUAAAAAUAAGCCGGAACGAACAAACUGUAAGAGUUGUGGAUGACGGGCCAAGUUCGAGUUUGUGAUUGAUCGGUUGCUGCUACUUUAGUCUGUGUGUUUGUGUGUCUGCGUUUUUCACUGCACGGAGCUCUUCCUGAAAUUCCAGAAAUCGUCUUCUAAGAAUGUCGAUCAUCUCCUUUUUGUUGCCAGUCUUUCAACUGUUCGUAACAUUUGAUCCCGGUGGCCUUGCAUCAACGUCAUAACGAAGACUGGAGCAGACGUCAGCAGCCAGGGUGGUAUACGAGACUCUUUUUGCCGGCACUUUGAUUUCAUGGAACACCAAACGAGUCAAUGCGGCCAAUCCGAUAUUCAAACAAACGUCAACAACUCGGAAACAUUGAACGUGCAUCCAACUGAUUUUUUUUUUUUCAGAAAAAAGAGAAAAGAACAAACAAAAUGGGUUCACCUAGUACACGUGUAACUGCUCGAAUCGGGUAUCAUGGAAUGUGAAACAAACGAAACUAAUCACUGCCAAAAUGGAUGACGGUGACGAUCGGAAUGACAGCAGCAUCUGGUUAGCCCUCCGUGAAACCGGACGACCUGCCAAAAGAUACGCAGCUAAGGACUGAACGAGUCAAAAUUCAAAAGAAAAGCUCCAAAUCCGUUGAGGAAUGAUACGAAUGACGAAUGAGAGGACUCGAUGAUGAAGAGAUGGACUCGAUUUCCAUCUUGGGUGGGUAAUAAGAUCUGAGGAAUUGGGCGGGUAACUCGAUGACGCCGUUGCUCUCCGCAGCCAAAAAUAAACCGAUAAACAACAAACAAAUAAAAAGUAUAGAGAGAUUCCAACUGGUCAGGAUAGUGUAAGAGAAAAGGGAAAAAUGCCAAAACGAGCAACUAGACACGCGACGAGAAGAAAGAGAACCCAAUAGACUUUAUGUUAUGGGAAAAGCAACGUUGAAGAGAUCUUAUAAUACGCUCUCUUGUGUGUCAUCGUCCAUCACCCACCGCAGGUCCAAAGUGUUCCAUGACGAGAAACCGGAUCAGAUAUCCGUAUGCUCUUUCAUCUUCCUAUCUCCUGGAAUGUGGCUCGACAUCUGCAGUCGACAACAGCAGAGAGGGGGGACAAUGAUACGAUGAGUUAUUUCUCGCUCUGCAUAGUUCACACUAAACUAUUUCUUUUAUUUUUUUAUAAAUACAUUUCGUUCUCCGAUUUCA
rnacentral:lncRNA from 1 species